rnacentral:tRNA from 1 species
GGACAGGUGCCCGAGUGGUUAAAGGGGGCGGACUGUAAAUCCGUUAGCUUAGCUUUCGAUGGUUCAAAUCCAUCUCUGUCCACCA